rnacentral:lncRNA from 1 species
GAUUCAUAAUCUAAUACAUUUACGCUUCCAUUACGUUACUUUGAUUCUUCCUCGAUCUUUGAGGAAUUUAUCUUUUAGUAUUUCUUAAAUACUUAAGGACUCACUUGACAGUUGCCAUGGUUCUGAUCCUGGGCUUGCACUGAUAUCGUCUUGUACCUGUUCUAGGUACAACUCAUAUCAAUGUUUUUCAUACAAUAUGAAAUACAUAAAUCACCUUUCUGCGUAUGCAUAAAGGAUUCAAUUUACGCAUUAUUUCUAUGGGAGUCAAAGAGUACGUUCUCUUGAGAAGAGCAACUUCUUAGUCUCACUAGAGUUGUCCUCUUAAUUGAAGUUUAUCAUUAUAUGAGAAACUUCCUAGCAAAUUUUGUCUAUUAUUAAGGGUAUGAUAUAAUCCAAUUAUAUCCUAAAAUCUAUCAAUAUAGAUUUCCAUCCCAUGUAUAUAGACAAUAUCUCCCAUAUACAUUCUAUCGUUAUAGAAUGUUUAAAGUCAUAACUUUAACGAAGAAGUAUUCCUUUCAUUUCCAAAAUUAAUAUAUCAUAUAUAUUGUAAAUUUUAGGAACAUGAUUAACUCCCACUAAUCUUUUGUAAACCUAGUAAACAAAAGAUUCAUUUACAUCUUUAUAAGCAAUCAAACGAUUUGAUCUUUUUCUCAUAAGAUGCAAAUAGCUCCCACUAGCUUGCUAAGAUCCACGAUGGAUGGAUCUCUACAACUUAGUCCAAACAUUGAAUCAUCAUUUAGUUGUAGCUAGCAAUCUUCGAAUUAAUUGAAACCAAGACUAUCUCAAAGAUGGUUUCUUCAAAGUCAACCAUUCUCUUUGAUUGUAGUCACCUUUAAGCUACCAAUUAGCUUAUGAAGGUUUCAUUAUUUCGGGUCAAAUGGUAUUUUACCAUUUCUUUGAAUAUAUAUCAUAUAUACACUCAAUGUAGUCAUAAGGAUUUUCAUUCUUAUUUCUUUCGAAUUAAGAGGUGCAACUCUAUGACAUAAUCAUAAAGUUCAAACCAUUCAACUGAGACGGUUUAUAAAUCCUUCUCAACUACCUUGGAGCUUUUGGUAUAGGAACUAAGUUGUUAUUUUUGUUGAUUACUUUCUUGUCUCUCAAAGAACUCAUUCUUUGAGUUCUAUCUCUCGUUCAUUUGCUCUUAGGCAAAUCACAUUGUAGAAUUACAAUGAACUACCCAACAAAACAACAUUUGUUAGUUGGUUUAUAGAAGCGAUAUCCAAAAGUUGAUUUAAGGAUAUCCAACAAGAUUGUUAUCAAACAAAUAUUGCUUGUUAGCACACAACCCCAAAUCUUAACAUGCUUAAGAUUUGUCUUUCUUUCCAACUACAUCUUAUGGAGUUAUGAAAAUUUUGGAAGAUCUUCUAAUUGACAAUCAUAUUGUUUUAGAAGUAUAUAUCCUAUAUAUAUGGGUAAUAGAUAACAUCUAACGAACUAAAUCUUAUUCAAGUUCGUUUUUUCUCUUAAUGGAGAAAUACAUUAUCUUAUGAUGCUUCUUUCCUUGAUAUCUUUCGAGGAGAGACUCAUCUAAAGUGUUACUUUUCCUUGGAUCAAAUCUAAGGAGAUAAAUACUUUAGACGUCUUACUCAUCUAUUUACAUUUCUUGAAUUCUUUGAAACAUUUUACAAAGUAUUCGGACUUGUGCUUAUUCAAAAUAAACUAUAGUCCAACCGAGAGUGAUCUUCGGUGAAUGUCAUAUAACAUGAGUAGUAUUAUGUUGUGGACAAGUGCCACUAACAUCUAAGUGAAUUAACCUUAACAACUUUGUGAUUCUUUCUUCUUUCCAAAAGAAUAAAGAUUCGAACAUUUCACCUCUAUACAAUUUUAACAAGAAGGUAUUGGAUCCGGAUCUAACGAUCCAAAGCAUCCAUCUA